rnacentral:rRNA from 1 species
UACGGAGGGUGCAAGCGUUAUCCGGAUUCACUGGGUUUAAAGGGUGCGUAGGUGGACUGGUAAGUCCGUGGUGAAAUCCCCGAGCUUAACUCGGGAACUGCCGUGGAUACUAUCAGUCUUGAAUAUCGCGUAGGUAAGCGGAAUAUGUCAUGUAGCGGUGAAAUGCUUAGAUAUGACAUAGAACACCAAUUGCGAAGGCAGCUUACUUCACGAUUAUUGACACUGAGGCACGAAAGCGUGGGGAGCAAACAGGAUUAGAAACCCGCGUAGUCC